rnacentral:rRNA from 1 species
AGCAGCCGCGGUAAUUCCAGCUCCAAUAGCGUAUAUUAAAGUUGUUGCAGUUAAAAAGCUCGUAGUUGAAUUUCGGGGUUAGUAGGUUGGUCAUGCCUCUGGUAUGUACUGGUUUCACUGAUUCCUCCUUCCUGAUGAGCCGUAAUGCCAUUAAUUUGGUGUUGCGGGGAAUUUGGACUGUUACUUUGAAAAAAUUAGAGUGUUUAAAGCAAGCUAACGCUUGAAUACAUUAGCAUGGAAUAAUGAAAUAGGACGUUCGAUCCUAUUUUGUUGGUUUCUAGGAUUGACGUAAUGAUUAAUAGGGAUAGUUGGGGGCAUUAGUAUUCAAUUGUCAGAGGUGAAAUUCUUGGAUUUAUUGAAGACUAACUACUGCGAAAGCAUUUGCCAAGGAUGUUUUCAUUAAUCAAGAACGAAAGUUAGGGGAUCGAAGACGAUCAGAUACCGUCGUAGUCUUAACCAUAAACUAUGCCGACUAGGGAUCGGAUGAUGUUAAUUUUUUAAUGACUCA